rnacentral:rRNA from 1 species
GACGAACGCUGGCGGCGUGCCUAAUACAUGCAAGUCGAGCGGACUGAAUGGGAGCUUGCUCUUGUUCGGUCAGCGGCGGACGGGUGAGUAACACGUGGGCAACCUGCCCGCAAGACCGGGAUAACUCCGGGAAACCGGAGCUAAUACCGGAUAACACCGAAGACCGCAUGGUCUUUGGUUGAAAGGCGGCGCAAGCUGCCACUUGCGGAUGGGCCCGCGGCGCAUUAGCUAGUUGGUGAGGUAACGGCUCACCAAGGCGACGAUGCGUAGCCGGCCUGAGAGGGUGACCGGCCACACUGGGACUGAGACACGGCCCAGACUCCUACGGGAGGCAGCAGUAGGGAAUCUUCCGCAAUGGGCGAAAGCCUGACGGAGCGACGCCGCGUGAGCGAAGAAGGCCUUCGGGUCGUAAAGCUCUGUUGUGAGGGACGAAGGAGCGCCGUUUGAAGAAGGCGGCGCGGUGACGGUACCUCACGAGGAAGCCCCGGCUAACUACGUGC